AGCAGCUUGGCGCAGUGGAAGCGCGGUAAGUUCAAUCACACAUUCUGUGUUACAGUACAAAUGUACUAACUUGCCUUAGCCGGGCUCAUAACCCGGAGGUCACUGGAUCGAAACCAGUAGCUGCUA
rnacentral:tRNA from 1 species